rnacentral:snRNA from 1 species
GGGCAGUCUGACCGAUACUGGCACUCCAUUGCUUCCAGGAUUGAUUGGCUAACAUGCCUGGCUAGGUGAAUGACCCUUACUGUCCCGUGUGCGUUCCUCUGAAAGUGUGUGCUCAGUUGACAAAGAUGACUUUUGCAGUAGACUUUUCCAUCUUUGGUGGAGGGUCUCUGAGUAGCUGUGUUUUCUUGCUUGAUCCUUCAAACCAGCUUUGAGGGAUCAGAAGCCUCAGGUUUUAGGUGUGGUUGGUCUCAGCUCUAUUCCUAAGAGGAGGCAAUCAGUGCCUCUGAG